rnacentral:rRNA from 1 species
AUUGAACGCUGGCGGAAUGCUUUACACAUGCAAGUCGAACGGCAGCACGGGUGCUUGCACCUGGUGGCGAGUGGCGAACGGGUGAGUAAUGCACCGGAACGUAUCCAAUAAUGGGGGAUAACGCACCGAAAGGUGUGCUAAUACCGCAUACGCCCUGAGGGGGAAAGCGGGGGAUCGUAAGACCUCGCGUUAAUGGAGCGGCCGAUGCCGGAUUAGCUAGUUGGUGGGAUAAAAGCUUACCAAGCCGACGAUCUGUAGCUGGUCUGAGAGGACGACCAGCCACACUGGGACUGAGACACGGCCCAGACUCCUACGGGAGGCAGCAGUGGGGAAUUUUGGACAAUGGGCGCAAGCCUGAUCCAGCCAUGCCGCGUGCAGGAUGAAGGCCUCGGUUGU